rnacentral:rRNA from 1 species
GACGAACGCUGGCGGCGUGCUUAACACAUGCAAGUCGAACGGAAAGGCCCUGCUUUUGUGGGGUGCUCGAGUGGCGAACGGGUGAGUAACACGUGAGUAACCUGCCCUUGCCUUUGGGAUAACUUCAGGAAACUGGGGCUAAUACCGGAUAGGAGCUCCUGCUGCAUGGUGGGGGUUGGAAAGUUUCGGCGGUUGGGGAGGGACUCGCGGCUUAUCAGCUUGAUGGUGGGGUAGUGGCUUACCAAGGCUUUGACGGGUAGCCGGCCUGAGAGGGUGACAGGACACAUUGGGACUGAGAUACGGCCCAGACUCCUACGGGAGGCAGCAGUGGGGAAUAUUGCACAAGGGGCGGAAGCCUGAUGCAGCAACGCCGCGUGCGGGAUGACGGCCUUCGGGUUGUAUUCCGCUUUCGCCUGUGACGAAGCGUGAGUGACGGUAAUGGGUAAAGAAGCACCGGCUAACUACGUG